rnacentral:rRNA from 1 species
AAUUCGCCCUUGAGCACGUAGGUGGGUUUGUAAGUCAGAUGUGAAAGCCUUCUGUUCAACGGAAGAAUUGCAUCUGAAACUGCGAGUCUUGAGUGUAGGAGGGGAGAAUGGAACUCCUGGUGGAGCGGUGAAAUGCGUAGAUAUCAGAAGGAACGCCGGCGGCGAAAGCGAUUCUCUGGCCUAUUACUGACACUCAGUGUGCGAAAGCUAGGGGAGCAAACGGGAUUAGAUACCCCGGUAGUCCUAGCCGUAAACGAUGGGCACUAAGUAGAGGGAAUUACCGAUGUUCUCUCUGCCGUAGCUAACGCAUUAAGUGCCCCGCCUGGGGAGUACGGCCGCAAGGCUAAAACUCAAAAGAAUUGACGGGGGCUCGCACAAGCGGUGGAGCAUGUGGCUUAAUUCGAUGCAACGCGAAGAACCUUACCGGGGCUUGACAUGGUAGAAGUAGGAACCCGAAAGGGUAACGAACGGUAUCCAGUCCGUAACUAUCACAGGUGUUGCAUGGCUGUCGUCAGCUCGUGUCGUGAGACGUUGGGUUAAGUCCCCUAACGAGCGAAACCCUUGUUUUUAGUUACCAGCGGGUUGUGCCGGGUACUCUAGAAAGACUGCCGUCGUCAAGACGGAGGAAGGUGGGGAUGACGUCAAGUCAUCAUGGCCCUUAUGCCCCGGGCUGCACACGUGCUACAAUGGUCGGUACAAACGGAAGCGAAGCCGAGAGGUGAAGCGAAUCCAAGGGCGAAUU